rnacentral:piRNA from 1 species
UGAACAAUGAUUGAAUGAUUGAUAAAUAA